GAACCAAGCCGACUGCAUCCCAUUCUUCCGCUCCUGCCCGGCUUGCCCCGGGAGCAACAUCACCAUCCGCAACCAGAUCAACGCGCUCACUUCCUUCGUGGACGCCAGCAUGGUGUACGGCAGCGAGGAGCCCCUGGCCAGGAACCUGCGCAACAUGUCCAACCAGCUGGGGCUGCUGGCCGUCAACCAGCGCUUCCAAGACAACGGCCGGGCCCUGCUGCCCUUUGACAACCUGCACGAUGACCCCUGUCUCCUCACCAACCGCUCAGCGCGCAUCCCCUGCUUCCUGGCAGGUCAGCUUUGGGGUGGGGACCAGAGGUGGCAUAGGAGAUGUUCCCUGUUGGAGCCACAGGGACACCCGUUCUAGUGAGAUGCCCGAGCUCACCUCCAUGCACACCCUCUUACUUCGGGAGCACAACCGGCUGGCCACAGAGCUCAAGAUCCUGAACCCUAGGUGGGAUGGGGAGAGGCUCUACCAGGAAG
rnacentral:sRNA from 1 species